CAGUAGCCGCGGGAAUACGAAGGGGGCUAGCGUUGCUCGGAAUGACUGGGCGUAAAGGGCGCGUAGGCGGAUUGUUUAGUUAGGCGUGAAAUUCCUGGGCUUAACCUGGGGACUGCGCUUAAUACAGGCAGUCUAGAGUGAGGAAGAGGGUUGUGGAAUUCCCAGUGUAGAGGUGAAAUUCGUAGAUAUUGGGAAGAACACCGGUGGCGAAGGCGGCAACCUGGUCCUUGACUGACGCUGAGGCGCGAAAGCGUGGGGAGCAAACAGGAUUAGAUACCCCCGUAGUCCCUGUCUCUUAUAC
rnacentral:rRNA from 1 species